rfam:Oryza nivara chromosome 10, whole genome shotgun sequence.
AAAAAGGCAAACCCUGGGUUUCAUGCCAACGUUUGACUGUCUGUCUUAUAUGAAAUUUUUUUAUAAUUAGUAUUUUCAUUGUUGUUAGAUGACAAAACAUGAUUAAUACUUUAUGCGUGACUUAUCUUUUUAAUUUUUUCAUAAUUUUUUCAAAUAAGACGAACGGUCAAACGUUGGACACGGAAACCAGGGUUUGUCUUUUU